rnacentral:rRNA from 1 species
UACGUAGGGUGCAAGCGUUAAUCGGAAUUACUGGGCGUAAAGCGUGCGCAGGCGGGUUUUGUAAGUUUGUCGUGAAAUCCCCGGGGCUUAACCUGGGGAAAUUGCGAUGAAGACUGCAAGGCUAGAAUCUGGCAGAGGGGGGUAGAAUUCCACGUGUGAGCAGUGAAAUGCGUGAGAGAGUGUGGAGGAACACCGAUGCGAAGGCAGGCUGUCAUGGGCCGAGUACGUGGAGCCGCUGCGGAAGCGUGAAAAGGCACGAGGGGAG